rnacentral:rRNA from 1 species
GCUUGCUCCCUGAUGUUAGCGGCGGACGGGUGAGUAACACGUGGGUAACCUGCCUGUAAGACUGGGAUAACUCCGGGAAACCGGGGCUAAUACCGGAUGGUUGUUUGAACCGCAUGGUUCAGACAUAAAAGGUGGCUUCGGCUACCACUUACAGAUGGACCCGCGGCGCAUUAGCUAGUUGGUGAGGUAACGGCUCACCAAGGCGACGAUGCGUAGCCGACCUGAGAGGGUGAUCGGCCACACUGGGACUGAGACACGGCCCAGACUCCUACGGGAGGCAGCAGUAGGGAAUCUUCCGCAAUGGACGAAAGUCUGACGGAGCAACGCCGCGUGAGUGAUGAAGGUUUUCGGAUCGUAAAGCUCUGUUGUUAGGGAAGAACAAGUGCCGUUCAAAUAGGGCGGCACCUUGACGGUACCUAACCAGAAAGCCACGGCUAACUACGUGCCAGCAGCCGCGGUAAUACGUAGGUGGCAAGCGUUGUCCGGAAUUAUUGGGCGUAAAGGGCUCGCAGGCGGUUUCUUAAGUCUGAUGUGAAAGCCCCCGGCUCAACCGGGGAGGGUCAUUGGAAACUGGGGAACUUGAGUGCAGAAGAGGAGAGUGGAAUUCCACGUGUAGCGGU